ACAGUGAUGGUUCAGGAGUAGAAUUCUCGCCUUCCAUGCCGGAGACCCAGGUUCGAUUCCUGGCCAAAGCA
rnacentral:tRNA from 1 species